rnacentral:rRNA from 1 species
AUUGAACGCUGGCGGCAGGCCUAACACAUGCAAGUCGAACGAGUGGCGGACGGGUGAGUAAUGUCUGGGACACUGCCUGAUGGAGGGGGAUAACUACUGGAAACGGUAGCUAAUACCGCAUACCAUCGGAUGUGCCCAGAUGGGAUUAGCUAGUGGGUGGGGGAAAGGCUCACCUAGGCGACGAUCCCUAGUUGGUCUGAGAGGAUGGCCAGCAACAAGGGAACUGAGACACGGGCCAGACUACUACGGGAGGCAGCAGUGGGGAAUAUGGCACAAGGGGUGCAAGCCUGAUGCAGCCAUGCCGCGUGGAUGAAGAAGGCCUGCGGGUUGGAAAGUACUUUCAGCGGGGAGGCGUUACCCGCAGAAGAAGCACCGGCUAACUCCGUGCAAGCAGCCGCGGGAAUGC